rnacentral:rRNA from 1 species
AGCUAACGCUAUAAGCACUCCGCCUGAAGAGUACGGUCGCAAGAUUGGAACUCAAAGGAAUUGACGGGGGUCUAACACUAGUGGUGGAGCAUGUGGUUUAAUGCGAUAAUCCGCGCAAAACCUUACCAAUUUUUGACAUAUUUGAAUAGUUUCUUUUCAGAAAACGCUUUAAGGCUAACUAUUUUUUUACAGGUGUUGCACGACUGUCGUCAGCUCGUGUCGUGAGAUGUUUGGUUAAGUCCUGAAACGGGCGUAACUCUUGCUUUUUAAAUAACCUACUUUGAAGUUCUAUAUCUUGGCUUAAAAGGUACGGUCAACGAUAAGUUGAAGGAAGGUAAGAAUGAAGUCAAGUCAAUGUGACCCUAAUAAAUUGGGCUACUUCAUGUGCUACAAUGAAAAUUACAAAGAGUGACAAAAAAGAAAUUUCACGGUAAUCUAUAAAAUUUUCCCAGUUCGAAUUGUAGACUGCAACUCGUCUACAUGAAGUUGGAAUCACUAGUAAUCG